rnacentral:lncRNA from 1 species
AAUAGAAAAUCCUGAACAAAGAAAGGAGUACAUGUCAAAAUUUAAAGAAAUUUUAUUCGAAGAAAACUCUACAAAAAAUACAAAACCAACUUAUAAUCUAAAUAAUAUUUUAAACAGAUUUGAACCUGAGGAAAAGAAACCUCUAUCAAUUCAAGAUCUUCAAACAGAAAUUAGUCAGUUAAAAGUAGAAAUCAAUUAAAUAAAAAGUCAAAUUAAGCUACUAAAUGAAUUACAAACAAAACCCAAUAAAGAUGUAGAAGAUCAGGAAUUCAUAGAAGCAAUAACACAAAUAUUAUUUCAA